GGUUGUGGCUCAGUGGUAGAGUGCUUGCCUAGCAUGUGUGAGGCUCUGGGUUCAAUUCUCAGCACCA
rnacentral:tRNA from 1 species